GGUCUGGUGCGAAGUGUCGCAGCCCUCAGGGCCUGGGGCUGGAGGUUUCCCCGUCACAGGCCUUGGAGCGUGUCUCAGUGUUUAUAAUCCGCGUGUGCGACCGUGUUGGUGAGAACAAAGAAAAUGGGAAGAAAAAGCCAUGUGCGCUGAAGCUUGCUCGGUGUCGUCCCGGCUGAUCGGCUCCUGGAGGAGAGUAGUGUCUGAGCUGCAUGGAGGAAAUAAACGUUUUUGGCCUGGUCCUGAGGAGAAUGCAAUGCUCACACCAGAACAGCUGCUGCAGGAGCACCAUCUCAGAGGGCAUCACAGAGACCAUCACAGCUACAAGCAUCUGAAAGACUGAAGGACUCCAAAGGGGGUAGACAACACACUGUAGAUGCAUGGACAGCGAUCUGAGAGUCAAAGAUACGAGCAGAGACAUGUAGGGAUGUCACACUAUACACAAGCUCCAUUUCUAAUUGUUCUGUGGUGGAGUUACAUGACCGAACAGGGCUGUGGAUGUUGUCUGCUGUGCUUGUAAUGCACUGAGUGACUUCUAGCUCAUCCUUUGCCUCCAUCUGUUUCUCUGCUGCUCCCAUUGAGCCCACACAACUAUCUCCAGGGAACAGAAGGCAAACAGGCAUUGGUCCUGAGAACAGGAGGAGCAAAAUCAAGCUGGACCAUCUGUGGAUUGCUCAGUGCCUGCCAUCCCACCAGCUACAGGAGGAUACUGGGAGGGGGAAGCACCUGCCAUGGCAAAGGGACAAGAAUUGGGUGCGACAGGAAUGCCACCAGCUCCAUGCAAUCCCAGGGCUGGAACUUUGUGUGCUGAAAUCCAAGAGGUGACAAAUGAAGAUGAAACAUCUGAGAAGCCUAAAAAGCAAUGGAUGAAGCAGGACACAGGAAUAUCUGGUGACACCAGGAAUAGAAGAUCAGUUUCAGAAUGAAACAUGUGGGGGCUGAAAAGCAUCCAGCGACAUCUCAUUCGACUUGGACUCGUUCUAAGGUCAGAAUCAAGUAAUUGUUUUAUAAAACUCAAAUUUGCUAGAAGGGCUUAAUGCAUUUUUUAGAAGGGCUGAGUAAUAAAGUAAUUGUAGAUUUAUUGCUGCUGUUAACACCAGGAGAAAGAUACAUCGUUCCACUUGGGACCACUUAAGCAUAUAGUGUUUGAAAGGACAGAGCUUAGUUCAUAAUCACGGAAGUGUUUAUUCACCUCCCUUUUGCUUUGUUUCAUGUAUACUUUGAGGAAGAAAUGGAAGUGUGGCUUUGCGAUGCCUUACCCAUGGUCUUUAGGGACAGAAAUCUGGCUUGGCUUUCCCUGGUUGCCCAGAGCCUUUGUGGCAACCCCAAGUAAAUGACCUAUUCCCAUGGUGCUUGAGUCCAUGUUUUUCUCUCCAGUGUAAAGGGAAGCUCUGAAUUCCUUCAUACAGUGAGCAAGCAGCUGAAAUAAUAUUGCCUCACAAGCCCUUAUGUAUUUUUUAUUACUCAGAGAGUAAAAUAUUGGAAUGACUUCCGACAGAAAGAGAAGAGCAAGGGAAAUCACCCAGGAGAAACGGGUUUAUCUCAGAGCCUUUCAUUGGAUGGUGUAAAACACCUUUAUGGUGAAAAGAAAAGAUGAUUUAUGCUGCUCUUAUGAUCACCUGUACUGUAAAGCAAUGCCUCCUGCAAAAAGCUUUCCCACUCCCAUGUUUACCUGCCAUCAGAGGAAGGUGGUGCUGAACCCAGCACACUCAUAGCAAACCCGAGCCUCAUUUUUUCCAGGGACUGAGCUGGAGUCCCAUGCACACCAUAGGAUGUGCCAGGGAUGAGGGACAGAAGCAGCUCGUGCUGUGCCCAGGAUGGUCCCCUCCUUUGCUCCAUUGCAGAGACAAGACCUCUAACAAAGUUGUUCUCUUGGAUUGAGUUUUGUAACCCUCAUCCUUAUGAAUGGGAUUUGCUUCUGGCAACAGUUUAUUACAUGAUUUGAUUUCCUGGACAAUUCUAGAGAUACUGUAAUUUAGCAAAUGAUUCUUGCAAAAGAGCCACUUAGCUUUUAUUCCAAGUGGUUUUGCCCAUGGCUGGAAAGCAGAUCUCAUUUCGAUGUUCAGACUACUUGGUCCUUCUUUACAGCCCCUCAUGUGUGCUUGUGCCUGCGGAGGGGACCUUGGUGCCACCCAAAGCGUGUGAGCUCGGGGAAGAACCUGGAGCAAGAAGGUCCCAUUUGCUGAUGCUGCAUCUUGGAGGGUGUGGGAUGGGAGCUACACUGAGUCAUGGGGAGAGCUGUGCUGAAUCAAGGCAGAAAACAGCAAUGUCCUGAGGAACUUUGAGGUCUUUAUGCCACAUAUGUCUGCCAGAGGAAGAGGUUCCCUCCUCCAGCUCUCAGUGAGGGUGCAGGGUAUUGUGGCAUGGGUUUGUGAAUGCAGUCUGAGAAGCAAAGAUAUGCUCUAUAGCAGGAGGAUUCAUCCACCAAGAUGGAGCAAGGCAAACACACACACAAGCCCCCUUGUUCUGAGGGGCUAGAUGGGAGUGUAUUGGGUUUGAGGCUGAUGAUGGCUGUUCCCAUCUCCUCUCCCUCUGUCUUACAAGCAGCAGUUUGUAGCUGCAACUUUCCCCUCUAGCCCAGAACUAACCAGGACCCUUAGGGGACACCCUGGUGGGUUUCCCUUGCCCACUGCCUGUCCCUGGGAGCUGUGCUGAGCAAUGCUUUGCUCCAGGGCUUUGCUGACACCUUUAAAGAGGGCAGCUGUUCUCCUUUUGCUGAAGCAGCCUCCUAUUGCUUAGGCAAGAUGAUUGCAUUUCAUACCUUCCCAGCUCUAAUUUGCACUUCUUUGGGGAAGAUGACAGGACAAGUUACAUCAGAGCAGCUGCUGUCUCGCUGGGGUUUUAAAGGAAAAGGAAACAAAUCCCCUUCUUUGUUGCUUUUACGUUGUUUUACUGCUUACAACAUGGGCCUGGCUGACCUCUGAGGGGGCUGAACAUCACCACCAACAGGAAUGGGGAUGUGAGAAAUCAUGGAGGGGCAGUUGUUCAUAGUAUCACAGAGUGGUUUGGGUGCUGACUGUUUAAGGAUGCGUACAUUGCAGAGCCAGGGAAACCAUGGGCAUUGUUGUGAGUGAUUUCUGAAGGGUUUUAAAUCAUUUUCUAUUAUUUCUUGUUUUCCAGCAUGCUGCUGACACACUGGAGGAAAACCACAGGCUGCACGUGUGAUAAGGAUUCCCUCACUGUAUCUCUAUUGGGUUUUA